rnacentral:rRNA from 1 species
GAUGAACGCUGGCGGCGUGCCUAAUACAUGCAAGUCGAGCGAACAGACGAGGAGCUUGCUCCUCUGACGUUAGCGGCGGACGGGUGAGUAACACGUGGAUAACCUACCUAUAAGACUGGGAUAACUUCGGGAAACCGGAGCUAAUACCGGAUAAUAUAUUGAACCGCAUGGUUCAAUAGUGAAAGACGGUUUUGCUGUCACUUAUAGAUGGAUCCGCGCGGCAUUAGCUAGUUGGUAAGGUAACGGCUUACCAAGGCAACGAUGCGUAGCCGAGCUGAAAGACUGAUUCGCCCAACUGGAACUGAGACACGGUCCAGACUCCUACUGAUGCCAGCAGUAGGGAAUCUUACGCAAUUGGCGAAAGCCUGACGGAGCAACACCGCGUGAGUGAUGAAGGUCUUCGGAUCGUAAAACUCUGUUAUUAGGGAAGACCAAAUGUGUAAGUAACUAUGCACGUCUUGACGGUACCUAAUCAGAAAGCCACGGCUAACUACGUG